rnacentral:rRNA from 1 species
ACCUGGUUGAUCCUGCCAGUAGUCAUAUGCUUGUCUCAAAGAUUAAGCCAUGCAUGUGUAAGUACAAGCCAAUAUAAGGUGAAACCGCGAAUGGCUCAUUAAAUCAGCUAUGUUUCAUUGGAUCUGUACCCCCAUUACUUGGAUAACUGUGGUAAUUCUAGAGCUAAUACAUGCACACACAGUCCCUGACCUAAGCAAGGGAGGCUCUUUUAUAGUUCAAACCGGUCGGCCUCGGUCCGUAACCAACCUGUGGUGAAUCUGAAUAACUUUGAGCUGAGCGCACGGUCUCCGUACUGGCGCCGCAUCUUUCAAGUGUCUGCCUUAUCAGCUUUCGAUUGUAGGUUAUGCGCCUACAAUAGGCUAUAACGGUAACGGGGAAGUCAGGGUUCGAUUCCGGAGAGGGAGGCCUGAGAAACGGCUACCACAUCUAAGGAAGGCAGCAGGCACGCAAAUUACCCACUCCCGGCACGGGGAGGUAGUGACGAAAAAUAACGAUGCGAGACUCAUCCGAGGCCUCGCAAUCGGAAUGAGUACACUUUAAAUCCUUUAACGAGGACCCAUUGGAGGGCAAGUCUGGUGCCAGCAGCCGCGGUAAUUCCAGCUCCAAUAGCGUAUAUUAAAGUUGUUGCGGUUAAAAAGCUCGUAGUUGGAUUACAGUUCAGGACUGACGGUUCACCGCCCGGUGCUUACUGUCACGCUCCGAACAGCCUGAAUAUGGCCCCGCCGGCUCGCACGGGAUCGCUCUUCACCGAGUCGUCGCGAGUGGCCGG